rnacentral:rRNA from 1 species
GACGAACGCUGGCGGCGUGCUUAACACAUGCAAGUCGAGCGGUAAGGCCUUUCGGGGUACACGAGCGGCGAACGGGUGAGUAACACGUGGGUGACCUGCCCUCAGCUCUGGGAUAAGCCUGGGAAACUGGGUCUAAUACCGGAUAUGACCUUUCCUCGCAUGGGGUUUGGUGGAAAGUUUUUUCGGCUGGGGAUGGGCCCGCGGCCUAUCAGCUUGUUGGUGGGGUGAUGGCCUACCAAGGCGACGACGGGUAGCCGGCCUGAGAGGGCGACCGGCC